UAAACAAUAUUGGCCAGAGCCACAUCAGAUAGGCACGUUAAAGCAAAACACGGCAUGAUAAACACAUUUUCAUUCUCAUAAAUAAAACAUUUAGGACUUUUGUCCUUAUUUAAAAAGGAAGCCCAACUCGAUUGCUUAAUCCGAAACUAUUUUCUUUCCUUUGCGUUCACGAUUCCCUUGCGAGAUAUCACCUUUAGAAUUAAAAUAACACAUAAAUCAACAUACUUUUAAAUUAAAUAAGUAAAAAUGCAUGCAUCCUUAGCGAAGUCUUUUAUCUCGAUUUAUCUUGGUUUUCGAUUAUUCGGCGGCCGCUUACGCCCUUAAUUUCCUCCGUUGACUCCUCGUAUUUUCUUGGCUCCUCGUAUUUUCUUAACGAUAUCGAAAUAAAAUCCCCUAAAUUAUCAAAGUGUGUAAUUAAAUUAUCGCAAGCAUUUUCCCCUCGAGCUAUAUUUAUUCCGGACUUAGGAUAUAAUUAUUCAUUCGUUGAAAUAUUCCGAAAUUAAUUAAAUAAUUCGUCACUAUUAAUUAUCGGCCCAAAGAUUUAUUGAAAAGACUCAAAGUUUAAUUAUUUCUCCACCUUAUCUCUCCAAUUAAAUUAAGAAGCCCCAACAAAUUAAAUUGGAGCCCAACUAACCAAAUCCUACCAUUUAAAUUAAAGAGGUCCAAACAAUUAAAUGGAGCCCAUCUUUAAUAAUACAUCCAAUUCUAAUUAAUGAGACCCAAUCCCAAUUAAAAUAAAAGCCCAAAAUCAAGUAUACUCCAUCCCCCAUCUUCCUCGUCUCACACUCUCUCUCUCUCCUCUCACCCUCUUCUUCUCUCUAGCUCGACACCUGAAGGAAUCCGAUCCGGCGUCGCCUUGCACUUCCGCCGUCGGCCGCCGUUCGGCCGAGCCGCUGCUGCUACUGCUCGUCGGGGAGAGGCUGCUGUUGCCGGAAGGAGCUACUGCUGCCGUCGGGAAGAGCUGCUGCCGACCGCGCCGCUGUUCCGUCGCCGUGAGCCGUCUCCAGCCCUGCACCCGCACCCGACGCCGCCGUCGCUGCCGGGAGGUGCUGCCUCUGGUCAGCCCCCGAUUUCCUCCCCGAAGAUUGUGGCAACAGUAGGAUGAAAUAUAUAUGGAUGCAGUAGAAUGAAAUUGAAAUUUGGAUGGGAGAGGUGUUUACCUUCAAUUUGCAGACGGAUGUUGAAAAAAUGGUUCUUGAAUCUCCGUCUCGGCCUUAUUCAACAAUUGCAAAGAAUUGGAUGGGUUGGUUUAGAAAGCCCCAAAAACGUGUAACAGAGAUGGAGAUGGAGUUUGCAAGAUUACCUUGGAUUGAAGUUGAAGAGAAAUCCUUGUUUUGCUACAGAGAUGGGAGGAACGAAUGGUGCAGCAGAGGAGUAGAAGAUUUGGUUGAGAGGUUGGAGAGAUUUGGGGAGUGGGUAGAGAUUCAAGAGAGAGAGGGGCGGUUUCAAAUUGUGUAUUGAGGGGAUUUCUAUUUUUUUUAUUUGGUAUUUUAUUUGUAGAUUACGGAGGAUGAAUAUCUUUUCACGGAGGAGGAUAAUCUUUACAGAAUCUUUAAUUAAAUAAAAUUAAAGCGGAUUGAUGAUCA